rnacentral:sRNA from 1 species
UGUGUUGUGACAUGCAAUAUGAUUGUUCUCACCCACACAAGGUCAACUGCCAAUAGCCUCAGCGUCCUGGCAUUGGAGCUGAACUUCACACUAAAUCUUAGAGACCUGACAUCAACCCGGAUACAGCUACAACGAUUUUAUUGAACGUGUCAACAGUUCUACUGCGAUCAACUACACUUGAUAUUAUAAUACAUUAUGAAAAUGAAACUCUACUAAUCAGUUUCUCGCACGGUAAGUUUCAUUGAGUCAAGUGACACAAGAUAUGUCGUGGCGCUCGGGUGAUGACACCUUCUCUGACCUUUAUUUCUUCAUUUCAGUUACAUAUUUGAUGUCUACUUUUGUUAUUAAAAAUCAUUAUCGUUUGCUUA